rnacentral:rRNA from 1 species
AACGAACGCUGGCGGCAUGCCUAACACAUGCAAGUCGAACGAGACCUUCGGGUCUAGUGGCGCACGGGUGCGUCACGCGUGGGAACCUGCCCUUAGGCUCGGAAUAACUCCCCGAAAGGGGUGCUAAUACCGGAUAAUGUCUUCGGACCAAAGAUUUAUCGCCCUUGGAUGGGCCCGCGUUGGAUUAGCUAGUUGGUAGGGUAAAAGCCUACCAAGGCGACGAUCCAUAGCUGGUCUGAGAGGAUGAGCAGCCACACUGGGACUGAGACACGGCCGAGACUCCUACGGGAGGCAGCAGUGGGGAAUAUUGGACAAUGGGCGAAAGCCUGAUCCAGCAAUGCUGCGUGAGUGAUGAAGGCCUUAGGGUUGUAAAGCUCUUUUACCCGGGAUGAUAAUGACAGUACCGGGAGAAUAAGCUCCGGCUAACUCCGUG